rnacentral:rRNA from 1 species
UGACCCCAUGCCGAACUCAGAAGUGAAACGCCGUAGCGCCGAUGGUAGUGUGGGGCUUCCCCAUGCGAGAGUAGGGAACUGCCAGGC